ensembl:lncRNA
CUCCAGGCAAGAACACUGGAGUGGGUUGCCAUUUCCUUCUCCAGGAGAUCUCCCUGACACAGGGAUUGAACCCAGGUCUCCUACAUUGCAGGCAGAUUCUUUACCAUCUGAGCCAUAAGGGAAGCCUGGAAGAAUUAUUAACAUUUUUCCAAAUCUGUGAUUCUGAAAGGAACAAGUUCCUUUAAAACUCUAUAGGGUGAGCAGAAUACACUAGGGUGGAAAGGCAAAGGACUGAUCUGACUGCCCAUUUCUGCUCAGAGUUCAGUAGUGCUUUCUCUAAGAAGAGGCCACUUUGAGAAAAAGGGACUUGUUCAUCCACUUGCUGGGACCACCAAUAGCAGAGGACCCUUAUCUGUCAGCCCUCUGCCUCAAGAUUCAGCAAUGUCUGCGGAUCAGUCAUUUCUUGGCAUUUCCUCUGAAGCCAUCGCACUGCCUGCCGACCAUAUAUGACGGACUUCUGCAUCCACAGAGACCAACAAACCACACUCUGAGAUCCUUGUUCUGUCGGAGCUGCUUCUGUAGCACUCCCCAGGUGAAGGCGCUGGUAUCCAUCUUGCCCAAAGUCAGGUGUUCCAGAGAAGGAUCACAUUUGCUCUUUGAGUUGUAGUUAUGACAAUGUACAGUUGAAUCUCCUUAUUCUUUGUGGAAACGUUAGAUAGUACACAAGACAGAAUACAGGGCAUCAAUCGCCAUCAAUCGCUAUUUACAGCAAUUAGUUUAAUUUGUUAAGUGAAUCCAAUACUUUUCCUUACAUUCCUGACUUGUUCACAAAAUAUAAUAGAUGGCUGUAAGAAUCUGUAUAAAAUUUAGCUAUACUUAAAAG